UCCAAGAGAGAGCUGUCAGCAGUGCAGCCGCCGAAGAGGCAAACCUGUCCUGUUAUGUAAGAACAGGGGAGGUGAAACUUUCAGGCAAAAGGAUUGGAG
rnacentral:ncRNA from 1 species